rnacentral:rRNA from 1 species
UACGUAGGGUGCGAGCGUUGUCCGGAAUUAUUGGGCGUAAAGGGCUCGUAGGCGGUUUGUCGCGUCGGGAGUGAAAUCCACUGGCUUAACUGGUGGCUUGCUUUCGAUACGGGCAGACUGGAGGUAUGCAGGGGAGAACGGAAUUCCUGGUGUAGCGGUGAAAUGCGCAGAUAUCUGGAGGAACACCGGUGGCGAAGGCGGCAUCCUGGACCGGCAUUGACGCUGAGGCGCGAAAGCUAGGGUAGCAAACGGG